rnacentral:lncRNA from 1 species
CAUCUUCUUAUUUUUAUAUGAUACCUUGUAGUCAUUCCGUACAACAACAAGUAGACCUAUGCUUAUGCAUGUUAUAAUAUCUGAUAAAAUGACAAAACCAAGAAAACUUAUCAUUGACCAAAGAACCAUAAAAUGCGGUCAUGGUUAUAUGAAUCUGCCAGACAGACAUGCACACCUUACAAUUGUUACAUAUCCACCAAAUAUAAUCUACCUGUAACUUUAAACAUAUGAUAAACUGACAAAACUAUGCAGUGUUUCAUUGACCAAUGAACCAUGAAAAUGAGGUCAAGGUCAUAUAAAAUAUGGCAGACAGACAUGUGCAUCUUACAAUCAUUCCAUUCACUAAAUAAAGGGGCCUUAUUGCUUACAGUAUCCGGAAAAUAGACCAAACCACAAAAAAUAAACAUUUUCAAAGUUCCUUAUACCCUGCCAAUU